GGUCAAAGCCAGCAGCUGCGGGAUCGUCACACCCUUACCCUUUAAUCCCAGCGAUGCUGAGCCGGCUUCCAUCCCCUCGCUGAGCUAGCCAGCUGUCUGACUGCUUGAAAAUGGCGGAAGAGGAAGAGGGCAGCGUGGAGGAGGGGGACGUGUUCCUAGCAUUUGCCCAGGGUCCCAUUCCUCCUCGGGGGCCCGUGCGGCGGGCUUUGGACAAGAUCUUCCUCGCCUUCUUGGUCCUCUUCCUGACUCUGCUGAUGCUGGAGGCUGCUUACAAACUGCUGUGGCCCCUGCCAUGGGCCAAGUUUCAGGACUGGCUCCUGAGGACCCCUGAGGAGGAGGCAGCUCUGGAGCUCUGAGCAUCUUCAUAGACCACCUGUCCUUGCUACUGAGCCCCGCUCACUCAAAGAUUUAUUAUAUGUACGUACACUGUCGCUGUCUUCAGACACCCCAGAAGAGGGCAUCAGAUCUCAUUAAGGAUGGUUGUGAGCCACCAUGUGGUUGCUGGGAUUUGAACUCAGGACCUCUGGAACAGCAGUCAGUGCUCUUAACCGCUGAGCCAUUUCUCCAACCCUUAAGAGUGUAUUUUAUUUCCUUUUGAUUUCCUGCAAGUAUCAUGGUUUCAGUUUUCUUCCUGGCUGUAAGACUCCAUUGUAUGUCCGAACCACAUUUUAUCUGUUUUACGGGCCAGUUGGCUGCUUCUGUUCUUUUGCCUAUUGCAAUCGCUACAGCAAUAAACAUGGAUGUGUA
ensembl:lincRNA Platr17 pluripotency associated transcript 17